CUUUGCAAACAUCACUAGCACCUGGCGCUAAUCAACUUCACGAAGCUAGCUAAAUUGGGAGUGCUCAAAGAUAAAGGUUGAUGAAGAACUCCAUGGCGGGAGUUUUAACGCAGCAUCCAAACAUUGAAUUUGUUUCAAAAGUAGGAUUACAAUCUGCAGUCGAAGAAGAAGAUGAUCUACCAAAGAUCUGGAACCAGUCUGGUCCCGUCUUCCAGGGUCUUGAGAAACUCCAACUGAAACUCCACCAUUUCUGCCAAGUUUCCAAACAGUACAUCCAGCUAGAGGAAAAGGGUAUUGGAACAAAGUUAAAAUAAAAUCCCCUCAUUACA